rnacentral:rRNA from 1 species
AUCGAACGCUGGCGGCAGGCCUAACACAUGCAAGUCGAGCGGAGCGGCGGACGGGUGAGUAAUGCCUAGGAAUCUACCUGGUAGUGGGCUAUACCGUCCGGAAACGGGCGCUUAUACCGCAUACUAUCAGAUGACCCUCGGUCGGAUUAGCUAGUUGGUGGGGUAAAGGCCUACCAAGGCGACGAUCCGUAACUGGUCUGAGAGGAUGAUCAGUCACACUGGAACUGAGACACGGUCCAGACUCCUACGGGAGGCAGCAGUGGGGAAUAUUGGACAAUGGGCGAAAGCCUGAUCCAGCCAUGCCGCGUGUGUGAAGAAGGUCUUCGGAUUGUAAAGCUCUUUAAGUUGGGAGGCGGUACCAACAGAAUAAGCACCGGCUAACUUCGUGCCAGCAGCCGCGGUAAUUC